rnacentral:lncRNA from 1 species
AUAUGUUUUGUCUACUUUCCAUGGGCUCUUAAGCUAUAUCUUCAUAUGUCCUCUACACGAUCAUUUAUUAAAUAAACUAUUAACAUCAGAUUAUAUAACCUUCGAUACUAAGAAAGAUCAGUCUGAUGCUCUUCAUCUUAUAACCAAUAAUAGUUAAGAUAUUCCGCUGUUCUGUUUUAACUAUUUCACUCGAUAUAUGUAUAAUUAACUCCAAAGGCAAAUAUGAACACAUUUAUUUUUCUAUCAUUUUAACGUUUUGUAUAUGGUAUUUAGAGAUCAAAAUCAAGUCUUUCCUAUCAACUGCAUCUAUCAUACAAUUAUUGUCUAUUAUGAAAUUUGGCCUCAUUAGCAGUUUUUAAGUUACAUAAUGUAGUUUUUUGGUUUCUAUAUUAUCGAUAGAACGACAGGUAGAUAACAUCAAUACCAUUCCUUUAUUUAUCAAUUUUACUAAUAAAAAUCAAUCAGUAUUUCGAUGUUUUAACCCUUUCGCUACGGCGGGCCUCACCGCGGAGUACCUCGUCUAGAACGGAGCGCCGUGCCGAAAGUGGGAACAUUAAGCGCGCGCAGUCUUUAGCAUUCGGGGCCAAGACUUUCGUCUCAAAAACGACUUUGUGACAUUACUUUUAGAAACAAAAUGAUUUGUGUUCAUAAUUUCUCUAUGGAGCGGGUGAUUAUAGUCACCCGUCGUGUAUAGGUGGCAUCUUGUGACCGGUGACUAUAGUCACCCAUCGUAUGCAGGUGUCGUUUGGUGGCGGGUGACUAUAGUCACCCGUAGUAGUGAAAGGGUUAAUCCGCCUUUGUUUAAUUUAUUGUUCAUGUGAAACAUUACAUACUUCGUAUUUUGGACAAUAAAACAACACUUUGGAAAGCUCGUUUUAUUACAAUGAAGUAAAUAUAAUAAGGAACUCGUAUACGAAUUAUCAGCAUUCAAAGUGUGACCUACAUUUAGAUUUGGCUGUAGCUACGUCAUAACAAUAUUACUGGAUUUAUCAAGAUUCCGCCUAGUUAAUACCUAGCUGGUCCCAAACCCAGACAAAGGAGAGGGUUCGAGGGUGAGGCUAGCAACCUACCCUCGGUAAAAACAAUAAAACGCCCCCGGAAAUAGCAAUAAAAAAGCUAGUAUUACAGGACGAAGUCCUAACAAAAAGAAGAAGUAGAAGAUAAUUGAACCCUUUGCACUCGGAUGUCCACUCUCAGGGAAUAUUCAAGUUUAUUAGUGACUAUGGGGAAUUAAGUUAUUUCAGCGCAACUUUUUGAGACAUGCAUGUUUCCCUGAAUUUUUCUCUUGAAAUGGCACAAGAAAUUAAAUCAAAAUAUCAUAAAAUUACUAAGAUAUAUACAAGAAAUGUCAGCGGGUUUUGUGUCAGACGAGAACGUGAGAGAACUUCUCGGCGCCACUUGAAAAGAGCGAUAAGAAGGGGAGUUUGUAGAAGAAAGGUCGGUAUGCGAACAUAGCACGCAGUGUAUAGUAAGAUUUAUAAUUAUAAAUAAACAAGUCUAAAUCUAGAGGAAAAGAUUUCCAAAGCUGAGCUCAGUCUGGUUUGAAGCUUUGAGCAGUACACAUAGAUCUAACGAGUGAGAAAAUCGGAAAAGUGAUUCUUUUCUUAGUGAACAAAUUGUUUGGUAAAAGCUAUUUUGGUAAAUAUCAUCUUGUGAGUUAGUAAUAACAAUUAGAAAUUUUCAACCCAUGUAUUUAUUCAUAUUUUUUUUUAGAACAAUGGCAAAGCGUCCAACCACGAGUGAGUCUCAUGACACAUAUAUUAGUGAAGAUGAGCUCUAGAUAGACCUCUAUACAGACAUGUUAGAAAGACUAACUGUAGAACAAAACGACAGCAGUGAAAGUGAUAUCGUUCCACCAAGAAGGUGACAAAGAGUUCGCAUAGAUAGCAACAGCGAUAAAAGUAGUACGGAAGAAAACACCCGACAACAUGACAACGUAUCGUCAAGUGAAGAGUGGGAAGAUGUUACCGAAUCGGGCGUUCCUCCAGCUACGAUAAAUUUUGAUUUACACGAAGAAAUAGCCGGACCACAACAUAAAAAAGCUCAUAGACUAUUUUACAUUAUAUUUUACU